GUUCGACUCGGCUUAUCCUGUGCCGCCCGCGACGAGGAAACAUUGAGAGCGAUCGAUCGAUCGAUCGAUGGGGACGCCAACGAGAUGAGUUCUUUUUACCCUUAACCUUCCCUCCUUCCUCCACGCGCUUCCAAUUCUUCGGCCAUUGAUUCGUCCGUUGCGAGGGCUGGGCUUCGGACAACCCUAGAUUCGCUGCAUAGGGAGGGGCCGGUGGUCGAAGCGAGACAGGACCAGGAGGAGGCUUUUGGAUCGUUCUCCAGGUAAUUCGAAAUUGGUGAUUGAGAAAAGAGAGAUGAAGCCGAGGAACAGGCCAGAUGAAGAGGAGGCUGAAUACUCCACUUGGACCCCAAGAAACAGCUGGUCCAUCGGGUUGAUAAAGUUUGUCUCGUUUCUGGUCAUUUUCAUGGCGGGAAUUAUCAUAGGCUUGUCAUUAAGCGCGCAUUUCACGAGGUCAUUCAAUUCACAGACCGAUAUCUUCUUUCCGAAGACAAUGUACACCACCAACUGCGACAAGGCAAGCUUGAGCUUCAAGGGUUUCUUGAGUCCGGCACAUUUGAUGCAUAGCAUGUCAGACAAAGAGCUCUUCUGGAGGGUGUCCAUGGCACCUAAGAUGAAAGAGUAUCCAUUUGAGAGGGUGCCGAAGGUGGCUUUUAUGUUCAUGACCAGGGGGCCCUUGCCAUUAGCAAGGCUGUGGGACAGGUUCUUCAAAGGCCAUGAGGGGCUGUAUUCAGUUUACGUGCACACAAUCCCAGAUUACAAACUCAACGCACCAGAAAGCUCAGCUUUCUAUGGCCGGCAGAUCCCCAGCGAGGAGGUUUCAUGGGGAUCAGUGACGCUAGUGGAUGCAGAGAAGCGUCUCUUGGCUAAUGCUUUGCUGGAUUUCUCCAAUGAACGCUUUAUUCUUCUCUCCGAGAGCUGCAUUCCUGUGUACAAUUUCCCUACUGUCUAUGAGUACCUCAUAAACUCUGCUCACAGCUUCGUCGAAUCCUAUGAUGAGAAUUCACAACAAGGUCGUGGGCGUUAUAGCCGUCACAUGUUUCCCACAAUCAAGCUCCACCAGUGGAGAAAAGGAUCUGAGUGGUUUGAACUCAACCGCGAAUUGGCUGUAAAUGUAGUAGCAGACUACAAGUACUACUCCAUUUUUAGUAAAUACUGCAAGCCUUCAUGCUAUCCUGAUGAGCACUAUAUACCGACUUUCUUAAACAUGUUCCAUGGGUCCCUAAAUGCAAAUCGAACCAUCACCUGGGUUGAUUGGUCAAGGGGAGGGCCCCAUCCAGCAACAUAUGGUGCUCCAAAUAUUACACCUGAUUUUAUACAGUCCAUUAGAAACAAUGGAACAUCAUGUAUGUAUAACUCGAGGCCGACGUCUGUAUGUUUCCUCUUUGCCAGGAAGUUUGCUCCUAGUUCCUUGGAUCCUCUACUCAACCUCACUUCAACAGUAAUGGGAUUCUGAGGUCUUUCUUCUACCUGUCUUUCUUCAUACAGAAUAGCUCAGAGAGGUGAUUAUUUUUUAGUUACUUCGUGACGUUUUGCUCCUUCUAUGUAUGGAUUAGAUAUGGCAGCUAUACUGGAAAUAUGGUUGAAGUUGAAAUCUUGUCCCAGCUGUCCAAGUUGGACACUAACAAUGAAAAAGGCCUUCUUGAAAUGGAUUGGAUGAUAGUCUCUAUGCAAAGGUAUCUAUUGAAGAUGCUGAAAGCAUAUGUUCAUAUGCCUACUGAAACAGUUGCAACACUCUUCAAGUUGAUCAGGGGCAGUUUGACUUCAUCGAUAGGCGAUACUUGUGUAUACAAAUCUGCUUAUGGAAUCUUUUUGUAUAUAGCCCUUUGUUGUUCUUUAUCUUUAUCUCUAAUCAGUCAACCCUUUUAUCAUUCCUUGUUCUUUUAUUCCUUAUUGGCUUGUAAGCUUACUCUGUCAACAAGAUUUCUUGAUGGAACAUGAAGAAAGAGGUCUGCCUUUGCCAACGACUUCAAGGAAAUCCACAUGGACCAGCUCAGUUGCCAGAAGUCAUGAUGAGGUUGACUAAAGAUGGCCUUGCUUAAAGAUGAACCGGAAAACAGAGUGUAGGAUAAUAUUAACCUGGAAAAGUCAACGUUGUGAUUUUUCAUUACAAUUUUGUACAGGUGAAUAAAGCAGAAGUGUGAAUGUUGUGUUGCAGGGUCAAGCAAUGGACCGAGAAAAAGCAAGACAACAUUUUUGUAGUAUAAACUUUGGAUUGAGGCUUCUUUUGGAAUCAUCACUAGAAUGGAAGUAUA